GGAAGGGAAGGGAGAGGAGGGGAAGGGGAAGGGGAAGGGGAAGGGGAAAGGGAAGAGAAAGGGAAAAGGAAAGGGAAAGGGAAAGGGGAAAGGGAAAAGGAGGGGGAAGGGAAGGGGAAAGGGGAGGGAAGAGGAUGUGGGGUUGGGAUGUGGGGUUGGGAUGUGGGGUUGGGAUGCAGGACAGGGAUGUGGGGCUGGGAUUUGGGGCCGGGAUUUGGGUGGGGGUCUCGGUGGGUGCCGUUUCCCCCCCCUUGUCCCCCCGCCCACCAUUCCGGCAGGGCGGCGCGGAUGCGGCCGAUGACGCCGAAGGACGGAUCCAGGCGGAGGCUCAGCGCGCCGCCCGUCGCCGCCAGCAGCGCCAGCCACCACGACGGCGACGCCGGGUAAACGCCGCUCAGGAAGCGGUUCUGCAGGGACGCACGGCGGCCGUAGGGACCACAGGGACCACAGGGACACAUAGGGACACAUAGGGACACAUAGGGACCACAGGGACCAUAGGGACACACAGGGACCAUAGGGACGCACAGGGACCCAUAGGGACCCAUAGAGACCCAUAGGGACCCACAGAGACCCACAGGGACCCAUAGGAACACAUUGGGACCCAUACGGACCCAUAGACCCAUAGGAACCCAUAGAGACCCAUAGAGACCUAUAGGGACACAUAGGGACAUAUGGAAACCCAUAGAGACCCACAGGGACCCACAGCGCCCACACAGCCCCAUACCACCAGCAGAGCCCCACACCGCCCCAUAGCACCCACAGCCCAGCACAUCGUCCCAUAUUGCCCAAUA
rnacentral:lncRNA from 1 species